rnacentral:lncRNA from 1 species
CACCCUGAAAGCAGGCUCAUAUUUUUCAGUACCUGGGUGGCCCAGAAGAACUUUUCAGGGAGCAAGAACCAAACAGAUAGUAAAAUAAGCACAUUUGUGGGUGAACCUCAGUUUCAUGCUUCUUGGGCUUCUCUGUGACCUACAAGAACCAAGAAACACCAGAAGAUGGAACUGAAACUGCCUCUUACUUGCUCAUUCUUCACUGCCAGAUCACAUCAGGAUAUAAGAUACCUGAGGACUACUUGUUUGCAGACUGCUGGAAGCAGAGACAUAAUCACCUAUUGUUUGGUCAUCCCCUUUCUUCUGGUGCUUCUCCAUCAGGGAAGGUGAAAGGCAGAAGAGGACCUGCAGUCACUUGCAUUGUGAAGGGCUGGUGUGGGCCACUGCAUGUUUCGAGUCAGAGCCAGACAAGGGAGAAUAGGAGAGGAAUGCUGUUGAAAUCUGAUUUGCAGAAAAGCAGGACAUGGAGCAGUUAA